UCCAGACUCCUACGGGAGGCAGCAGUGGGGGAUAUUGCACAAUGGGGGGAACCCUGAUGCAGCGACGCCGCGUGGGUGAAGGAGCGUUUCGGCGCGUAAAGCCCUCUCGGCAGGGAAGAAGGAGGACGGUACCUGACUAAGAAGCCCCGGCUAACUACGUGCCAGCAGCCGCGGUAAUACGUAGGGGGCAAGCGUUAUCCGGAUUUACUGGGUGUAAAGGGGGCGCAGACGGCAGCGCAAGCCAGGAGUGAAAGCCCGGGGCCCAACCCCGGGACUGCUCUUGGAACUGCGCGGCUGGAGUGCAGGAGGGGCAGGCGGAAUUCCUGGUGUAGCGGUGAAAUGCGUAGAUAUCAGGAGGAACACCGGUGGCGAAGGCGGCCUGCUGGACUGCGACUGACGUUGAGGCCCGAAAGCGUGGGGAGCAAACAGGAUUAGAUACCCGCGUAGG
rnacentral:rRNA from 1 species